rnacentral:tRNA from 1 species
GGGGUUGUGGCUCAGUGGCAGAGUGCUUACCUCGCACAUGUGAGGCACUGAGUUGGAUCCUCAGCACCACA